CUACUGUAUUUCUGUCGGCCAGCUUUUCUCCACAGAGGCAUCUCUGCUGUUAUAUUAUGUUGGGUAUUUAAUAAAACCCAUUAAUAACAUGAUAUAAUUAAUAAAUGAUCCCCCUAAAUGCCUCGUUCCCCAAACCCCAUCACUGUAAGUGUUAUAUCAGCCAUUGGUCGCAACGUCGCCCUCCCCCUGAUCACUAAUGUUCUCCUCCAGCAGAUUGUGGCCCGUAUAAUUAGGGGUAUAGCCGCACCCUGUCUCCGGAGGAGUCCGGUCCCAGAGGUUGAAUGAGGGGAGGGAUGUGGUUAAGAGAAGCGUGAACAUUCUGUCACUGUUUUCAGCCUAUUGUUGCAGCUCCUGCCGGCCCAGUUUCUGGCAUAUGGUCAGCAUUGUGUGUCAGACAAAGGGAGCACUUAAUGUUAAUUCAGCUCCGUAGUCCGGCCUCACCGUGCCGACAGACUGGCUUCUCUGCACCGCUCCCUGUCUGAAUGCCAAGAUGAGAAGGCUUGUUGUUUUUUCAUGUUUGUCCUGAAGAGGCUGUGAGUAGCCCUGUCACAGCUGGACUGGAGAAAUGCUUUAUCGAAAUGAAUGAAGAUCCAAUUGUCUGUCGACGUUGGUUUCAUUAUGUAUUGAAAGGGACAGGCAUUGUGCUCGGCUCGCUGGGAAUGACUACAUCUAUUAGUGGCUCAGUCCCACCUAGCACCGCGCCGACGCAGAUAUAUAUGGCAACCUG